CACGUAGGGUGCAAGCGUUAAUCGGAAUUACUGGGCGUAAAGCGUGCGCAGGCGGUUUUGUAAGUCUGUCGUGAAAGCCCCGGGCUCAACCUGGGAAUUGCGAUGGAGACUGCAAGGCUUGAAUCUGGCAGAGGGGGGUAGAAUUCCACGUGUAGCAGUGAAAUGCGUAGAGAUGUGGAGGAACACCGAUGGCGAAGGCAGCCCCCUGGGUCAAGAUUGACGCUCAUGCACGAAAGCGUGGGGAGCAAACAGG
rnacentral:rRNA from 1 species